CCUACGGGUGGCUGCAGUGGGGAAUAUUGCGCAAUGGGCGAAAGCCUGACGCAGCGACGCCGCGUGAGGGAUGAAGGUCUUCGGAUCGUAAACCUCUGUCAGCAGGGAAGAACGGUCACUGUGCUAAUCAGCAGUGAAUUGACGGUACCUGCAAAGGAAGCACCGGCUAACUCCGUGCCAGCAGCCGCGGUAAUACGGAGGGUGCGAGCGUUAAUCGGAAUUACUGGGCGUAAAGCGCUCGUAGGCGGUCUGUCAAGUCAAGGGGGAAAUCCCAUCGCUCAACGGGGGAACUGCUGUUGAAACUGGGAAACUGGAGUGUGUGAGGGGAAGGGGGAAUUCCAGGUGUAGGGGUGAAAUGCGUAGAUAUCUGGAGGAACAACGGUGGCGAAGGCGACUAUCUGGAACAUAACUGACGCUGAGGCGCGAAAGCGUGGGUAGCAAACAGGAUUAGAUACCCGGGUAGUC
rnacentral:rRNA from 1 species